rnacentral:antisense_RNA from 1 species
AGAGCCGGUGCGACGUUUCCCUUUCCAACCUUGUUCUUCCGGCCUUGCUGUCUGCCUCCUGGGCUGAUUGGAUUCGUUACUGCUUUGCAACGCGCACCUAACUCCAGACGGGGUCUCACUCUGUCGCCCAGGCUGGAGUGCAGUGGCACAAUCUCAGCUUGCUGUGACCUCAGCUCUCUGCGACCUCUGCUUCCUGGACUCAAGUGAUCCUCCCACCUCAGCCUCCUGAGUAGCUGGGACCACCAUAUGCACCAGCACGCCUGGCUGGGCCCUCCUGCUGCUCUCUCCAUGAGGCUGGUCCUGAAGGAAUAGGACUGUGGCUCGUCCCUCCUCCCCAUCUCGGCCCUGAGGCAGACAUACCUUCCACAGCUCUGGGAGCACCGCCUCCACCCAGGUCUCACAGGAUGGGACACAAGGAUAGGCAUUAAGCAGGACUUCCAGGGCCCGAGGGAAGUUGGCGCAGUGUUUCAGCAUCUAGGGGUCAAAAGAGGGUCUUGGGCACAUGCCUCCCCCACCCGAGGGCAGACCCAAGUCUUGCCUAAUCCACAUGGCCAAUCCUAGCCUAAUCUGGGGGGCUAAGGUCUGAGCCUGUCUUCCCUUUUCCGUGCCUCUGUCUACCCCACCCUCAAGUGUGCUCCAACCUUUUGGCCCCAGUUUUCCUCUGGGGCUCUUCCCUCCCUUGGACUCUCUCUCCCAGAAUCCUCUCUCCUCCUCCCAAGCUGGGGACAGCCCCCUGGCCGCUGAGGGCAGGCUUUCAGUCUCUUGGACCCUCUCUCUUCCCCAGAAGCGAAGCAGUUCCAGCCGCGAGCUCCCCCACACAGGAGCCUCCUAUGUCAGGGCCUCCCAGCGCACCUCAGGGCGCACUGGCUGGGCCCCGUAGUCCAGCAGUGCGGCGAAGAGGACCUCGGGCUCCCAGUUGGGGGCGUCCUGGACGGCCUGCAGCGCACAAUCCAUGGGCGUGUGGCCCGCCCCAUUGGGGACCUCAGCGCGGGCCCCGUGGCGCAGCAGCAGCUCGGCCAGGCCCCCGCAGCCGUUGGCACAAGCGUUGUGCAGCGGCGUGUGGCGCUUGCGCCCGGCCGCCCGGGCAUCAGCUCCAGCCUCCAGAAGCCGGCGCGCCGCAGCCUGGUGCCGCCUGCAGCUACCUGGGCCCUCGGCCCCAGCGCACGCCGCGUUCAGCGCAGUCUCGCCCUGGCUGGUGCGCAGGCCCACGUGGGCGCCAUGCUCCAGGUACAGAGCCACAUGUUGCUCCAGGCCGCGCGCCGCCGCCACGUGCAGGGGCGUCUCCUGGCUCUCGCCUGCUGCCAGGUUCACCGUCGCUCCCGCUUCCAGCAGCAACUUGGCGCACCUGGGGACAAGAGGGCGAGGUCCCGAGGAAAAUCCUGAAGGCCUGGGACCCCUUCAGCUUGCUGUGACUCUCCCUUCCCUUUCCACCCCUCUCACCUUGAGGUCCUACCUGGUGUCCUCCAUGAGAGUCAACACAAGCCCCGCUACAGACAACAGAACUGGAAGGUCCUGAGAGCUACCAGAAGCAUCUUCAGUUUUCAUAUGAAAAACUUAAGCCCAGGAGUGAUUUGUGCAGCCAAGGACACACAGCAAGUUAGUGGCUGCACCAGAAAUAGUACUCACUGCCUCAGACAGUCCCUCCCACAGUCUACUCUGUCUCCACCCCAAGGUCUGGUUCUGAAUCAUUCAGUCGUCAGUUGUCUCCUAACUUUUUUUUUUUUUUUUUUUUUGGAGACAGGGUCUCUCUCUGUGGCCUAGGCUGAAGUGCAGUGGUGUGAUUACAGCUCAUGUAGCCUGGACCUCCCAAGCUCAAGCAAUCCUCCUGCCUCUGCCUCCCGAGUAGCUGGGACCACAGGUGGGCAGCACCACACCUGGCUAAUUUUUUAAAUUAUUUUUUAUAGAGACAGGGUCUUACCAUUUGCCCCAGCUGGUUUCAAACUCAUGACCUCAAGCAAGCCUCCUGCCUUGGCCUCCCAAAGUGCGGGGAUUACAGGUGUGAGCCACCACACCGGGCCUUAUCUCCUAACAUUUUGAUAGCACAAAAUUUUGAAAACCCACUUCUGUGUAUGUUAUGAAGCACAGAAAAUUAAAAAGUAUGCACCAAAAAAAUAAA